UUGCAGUGAUGCAAAAUGAAUUUCUUCACCUGAUAUUGAUGAAGACACCUACUUUGACAUUCUUUUUCUGAGCAAA